rnacentral:rRNA from 1 species
AUAUUGACAGCAGGACGGUGGCCAUGGAAGUCGGAAUCCGCUAAGGAGUGUGUAACAACUCACCUGCCGAAUCAACUAGCCCUGAAAAUGGAUGGCGCUCUAGCGAGUUACUUAUACCACGCCGUUGGCUGUUGCUUACAACAGCAGUCAACGUGUAAGAGGGUCGCAGUGGUUGCGUUGAAGGUUUUCUGAGUGAUCAGAGCUGGAGCAGCCACUGGUGCAGAUCUUGGUGAUAGUAGCAAAUAAUCAAGUGAGAUCCUUGAUGACUGAAGUGAAAAAGGUUUCCACGUGAACAGUAUUUGGACGUGGGUCAGACGGUCCUAAGGAAUCGGCGAAUGCCGUGCCCAAUAGUGUGUGUUUUCGAUGGCUGCUUCGGUGGUCCUCUCGAAUCACAUGGUAUCCGAAAGGGAAACAGGUUAAUAUUCCUGUUCUUUGAGCUUGCGUUGGCGCGUCCUCCUUUACGGGAGGUCGUCGUCUGGGGCGGUAACGCGUAUGAACUUGUAUACGUCAUGUAUAGUUCGGGCUAGAGAUCUCUCCUCUAGUUUAGCUGUUUUGACCAUGGAAUGAGCUCAGCUCGAGAUAUGGUUGUAGGCAGCGUAGAGUGGCGCGGUUUCUGUGCCAUCCCGAGUGCUAUGCAUGACCCUUGAAAAUACAAGGGAUCCCUGAUUAUGCAAGCCAAAGCCGUACCGAAACCGCAUCAGGUUUUCAAGGUGAAUAGCCUCUCGUCGAUAGAAUAAUGUAGGUAAGGGAAGUCGGCAAAUUAGAUCCGUAACUUCGGGAAAAGGAUUGGCUCUAAGAACCGGGCUAUCCGGGCUUUGUUGCGAGGCUAGUGUGCUCUCGGUCAUGACUGCAGGAUGCUUCGGCUGAAUGCGGGCUAGUGCUGUGGGGCUGCUGGUUGAGCGGCUUUGCUUUCGGUGCAUCGUUUGAAGCGUGUCCUUCGGGGUGCGUGGAGGGCGGUGUGCCUCGGGUAGCGCUUAACGGUUGGCUUAGAACUGACACGGACUCAGGGAAUCCGACUGUCUAAUUAAAACAGAGCAGAUAGAAGGCGUUUAUGUGCGUUGACUAUCUGUGAUUUCUGCCCAGUGCUCUGAAUGUUAAGCUAAGGAAACUUGAUUAAGCGCGGGUAAACGGCGGGAGUAACUAUGACACUCUUAAGGUAGCCAAAUGCCUCGUCAUCUAAUUAGUGACGUGCACGAAUGGAUUAACGAGAUUCCCACUGUCCCUAUCUACUAUCUAGCGAAAUCACAGCCAAGGGAACGGGCUUGGCAAGUUAUGCGGGGAAAGAAGACCCGAUUGAGCUUGACUCUAGUCUGACUUUGUGAAGAGUCAUAGAAGGUGUAGUAUAGGUGGGAGACUUCGGUCGUCAGUGAAAUACCACCACUUCUAUCGAUUCCUUACUUAUUCGGUUAUAUGGGGAUUGCUGCUUCUGUAGCUUUCUCUUGGAAUUAAGUCGUGGCGCUUGCGCCGCGACGACCCACGUCGAUGACAUAGUCAGGCGGGGAGUUUGACUGGGGCGGUACAUCUGUCAAAUCGUAACGCAGGUGUCCUAAGCCGUACUCAGACAGGACAGAAACCUGUCGUAGACUAAAAGGAGAAAAGUACGAUUGAUCUAGAUUCUCAGUACGAAUACAGACCGUUAAAGCGUGGCCUAUCGAUCCUUUUGGAUUAUGGAGUUUAUAAUAAGAGGUGUCAGAAAAGUUACCAUCGGGAUAACUGGCUUGUGGCAGCCAAGCGUCCAUAGCGACGUUGCUUUUUGAUCCUUCGAUGUCGCCUCUUCCUAUCAUUACGAAGCAGAAUUCGUAAAGCGUUGGAUUGUUCACCCACUAAUAGGGAACGUGAGCUGGGUUUAGACCGUCGCGAGACAGGUUAGUUUUACCCUACAUGACCAUUUGAGACAUUGCGAUAGUAGUCUAGCUUAGUACGAGAGGAACCGCUAGUCCAGACAUUUGGUAUAUACAGCUGCUCGAUAGGGCAAUGCUGUGAGGCUACCAUCUGACGGAAUAUGACUGAAAGCCUCUAAGUCAGAAGCCUACCUAGUUAGUUUACAAUGUUAUUUU